UACGUAGGGUGCAAGCGUUGUCCGGAAUUAUUGGGCGUAAAGAGCUCGUAGGCGGUCUGUCGCGUCGGCUGUGAAAACUCGGGGCUCAACCCCGAGCCUGCAGUCGAUACGGGCAGACUAGAGUGCUGUAGGGGAGACUGGAAUUCCUGGUGUAGCGGUGAAAUGCGCAGAUAUCAGGAGGAACACCGGUGGCGAAGGCGGGUCUCUGGGCAGUAACUGAUGCUGAGGAGCGAAAGCGUGGGGAGCAAACAGG
rnacentral:rRNA from 1 species